UACGGGGGGGGCAAGCGUUGUUCGGAUUUACUGGGCGUAAAGAGCGUGUAGGCGGCCACGCAGGUCCGUUGUGAAAACUGGAGGCUCAACCUUCAGACGUCGACGGAAACCGUGUGGCUAGAGUCCGGAAGAGGAGAGUGGAAUUCCUGGUGUAGCGGUGAAAUGCGCAGAUAUCAGGAAGAACACCAAUGGCGAAGGCAGCUCUCUGGGACGGUACUGACGCUGAGACGCGAAAGCGUGGGGAGCAAACAGG
rnacentral:rRNA from 1 species